UCCUCAUAUAUUCUCACUCCUAAAAUCCCCCCCAGGUGGGCCAUUCUAUCAAUCCUCAUAUAUUCUCACUCCUAAAAUCCCCCCCAGGUGGGCCAUUCUAUCAAUCCUCAUAUAUUCUCACUCCUAAAAUCCCCCAGGUGGGCCAUUCUAUCAAUCCUCAUAUAUUCUCACUCCUAAAAUCCCCCCCAGGUGGGCCAUUCUAUCAAUCCUCAUAUAUUCUCACUCCUAAAAUCUCCCCCAGGUGGGCCAUUCUAUCAAUCCUCAUAUAUUCUCACUCCUAAAAUCUCCCCCAGGUGGGCCAUUCUAUCAAUCCUCAUAUAUUCUCAGUCCUAAAAUCUCCCCCAGGUGGGCCAUUCUAUCAAUCCUCAUAUAUUCUCACUCCUAAAAUCUCCCCCAGGUGGGCCAUUCUAUCAAUCCUCAUAUAUUCUCAGUCCUAAAAUCCCCCCCAGGUGGGCCAUUCUAUCAAUCCUCAUAUAUUCUCAGUCCUAAAAUCCCCCCCAGGUGGGCCAUUCUAUCAAUCCUCAUAUAUUCUCACUCCUAAAAUCCCCCCAGGUGGGCCAUUCUAUCAAUCCUCAUAUAUU